ACUUUUGGCCACCACUGUAUAUAUAUCAUUUCGAACUUAUAUUUAUUUUUGAAAAAGUUGCCACUGAAUAUAGCUAUGUACAAUGAAGAUCUCUAAAUUUAGUUUAUGUAUUUUAAUUUAGUGCGUUAUUAAAUAUAAACAUAUAUUUUUUAAUGAAGCGGUUCAUAUAAUUUCGUAUUGGUUUAAAAAUUAAACAUUUUUACUCUAAUAUCUAAUUAAAAUUGAUUUGUAGAAUAGUUUAAAUAUUUUUAAAAGUUUUUCAGUUUAAAUUGUAAUUCUGUUCAUGUUUUAUGCAAACAAAUAUGCUUCAGACCUUAUAAACAUGGUUUCCGCUACAGUGCAGCAAAAUAGAGCACGUGCAAUCAUGGAUUUUUAAUCACUUGUUAAAUUCUGAAACAUUUUUGCUAGCAAACUUGGAUAAAAUGUAAGCCAAAAUUUGCAUGAUUUGUUUUUGAGAAAGCAGAUCACAAUAAUCUGUUUUCCAUCACUAAUAAUCAAAUAGUAAAUAACUAUUACGUGAAAGUUAAAAACUUACUAAAUAAUGUUUAUAAAUUAUAGUUCAUAGAUUUGGUAUGUUACAUGUAAUAUUUUAGAAAUAUUAGUUUUUACAAACAUGUUAGUUUUUAAAAACGUGUUAGCUUUUAGAAACACAGAAGACUAUAUUUACGACUAUAUUUUAUUUAUUUUAUGUCUAUAUUUACUUGUUUGUAGUAUGAGUUUUAAUGACUUAUAUGUUUUUAUAUUCAUCAUGCCAUUAUUUAUUUUUAACGUCAAUCAUUCCAUCUAAAAACGACUUCAAAUCUGUAAUAGCUGAUAUAAGUAACUAACUUUUAUAGUUAAAUAAAGCUAAUUUUUUCAUACUUUUUCAACAUGUAUGGAUGAGAAAAAAAUAUAUUUAUUUUCCAGCGGAUCAAGCAGUUAGCGAUUUCUUCUGUGGCUUCAAUCGAGUGUUCAACAAAAUUGGCAGCAAAGGUGAGUGAUAAUAAUGUUAUUCAUAGUUUAGGAUUAUUAUUUUUUCUUUAUCAAAAUAUAAGGCAAGACAUCAUGAUUAUCUUUUCCUUCGCUUGAUAUUUAAAAUACACUCAUGAUUUAUAUG